rnacentral:rRNA from 1 species
UACGUAGGCAGCAAGCGUUGUUCGGAGUUACUGGGCGUAAAGAGUGUGUAGGCGGUGUUCCAAGUCUGGUGUGAAAUCUCCCGGCUCAACUGGGAGGGUGCGCCGGAAACUGGAAUGCUAGAGGGUGGGAGAGGUAAGCGGAAUUCCUGGUGUAGCGGUGAAAUGCGUAGAUAUCAGGAGGAACACCUGUGGUGUAGACAGCUUACUGGACCACUUCUGACGCUGAGACACGAAAGCGUGGGUAGCAAACAGG